AUAACUCAGUGGGGUUUUGGUCAAGCUAAUACGGACGAGAUAACCAAGAUGGAGCGAAACAACAGAGUGCCACGUGGGUGGCUAAAAGUGUGGAAAUGCAGAGAAAUUGUUAACUGGAAGCACAGGAGACUGCAAAUGCUGUAAAGGAGAGCAAAAAGAAACAAACUACCAUAGGAAACAAGAAAAUCUGCAGAUGCUGUUAAUCCAAGCUACACACAAAAUGCAGGGGGAACUCAGCCACACAGUAUCUACGGAAAAGAGUAUAGCAGACGUUUUGGGUCGAAACCCUUCAUCAGGACUGGGCGGGACUGAGUAUCAGAGGAACUCAGCUGGUCAGCCAGCAUCAGUGGAGGAAAAUUGUCAUUCGGUGUUUUGGAUCAAGACCCUUCAUCUGGACUGU